rnacentral:rRNA from 1 species
UACAGAGGGUGCAAGCGUUAAUCGGAUUUACUGGGCGUAAAGCGUGCGUAGGCGGUUCGCUAAGUCGGUUGUGAAAUCCCUGGGCUUAACCUGGGAAUUGCAUUCGAUACUGGUUAGCUAGAGUGUGGGAGAGGAUGGUAGAAUUCCAGGUGUAGCGGUGAAAUGCGUAGAGAUCUGGAGGAAUACCGAUGGCGAAGGCAGCCAUCUGGCCUAACACUGACGCUGAGGUGCGAAAGCAUGGGGAGCAAACAGG